ensembl:lncRNA
CGGAAAAAGUCGGUAACUCACAGCGCUGGGACAAGGUGAAGGCAAGGCCACGGAGCAGCGGAUCAAUAUUUCAUUUACUCGCCCCUUGCUUCCACACCCGGACUUGUAUCAAAUUCUUCACAGCCGGUCGUGGAAGGAGGGAGAGAGGCUGUGCGCGAGAGAAAGACAAGAUGUAGAAGGAGAAAAGAAACAAGGUUCACGAAAACAGCGACACAAGGCCUCUAAUUUCUCUGGGGUGCUGGCUGAGGCAGUGUGUGAGCGCAAGGUCAUUCAUUACGCACCACUGUCAAAUGGAAACACACAGACCCAUUAGAACUGCGUUGAACCUGCGCCAGCCAGGCAGCUGCCAUUGAGAUGAAUGGGAAUGCUACCAGAUAGCUCUCUCCAGGUGUCCAGGGAUGCUGUGAGCCUAUAAGAGGGGUCAUCUUCAUGCCCCCUGCCUGACACCCCUACAAUACUCUACCAGACCUCACAAUCAACCCAUUGUUCAUGCGGUCAAUAUCGCAAAGGAAAAGGUAAGGUGUGUGUGUGCACACAUACUGUAUCCUGAAGCCUGCGCUUACUACUGCAAGCCCAGCCAGACUCCAAUCAUAAUCCUGAGGAUUUUAGGAUAUGAUGACUCUACAAAUGAACUUUAAUCAAUGACAAUUACUUAUUUUGUUUUGAAGUGGAAAUGAGGUAUGAAAGAAAAAAUAUAUAUUAAAAAUAAAAAAUUAAUAAAAUGCAAAUUUUAAAUAAUUUUU